rnacentral:rRNA from 1 species
UACGUAGGCAGCAAGCGUUGUUCGGAGUUACUGGGCGUAAAGGGUGCGUAGGCGGCUUUUUAAGUUUGGUGUGAAAUCUCCCGGCUCAACUGGGAGGGUGCGGCGAAUACUGAGAGGCUAGAGUGUGGGAGAGGAAAGUGGAAUUCCUGGUGUAGCGGUGAAAUGCGUAGAUAUCAGGAGGAACACCUGUGGUGUAGGCAGCUUACUGGACCACUUCUGACGCUGAGACACGAAAGCGUGGGGAGCAAACAGG